UACAGAGGUCUCAAGCGUUGUUCGGAUUCAUUGGGCGUAAAGGGUGCGUAGGUGGCGCUGUAAGUCGGGUGUGAAAUUUCGGAGCUUAACUCCGAAACUGCAUUCGAUACUGCGGUGCUUGAGGACUGGAGAGGAGACUGGAAUUCAUGGUGUAGCAGUGAAAUGCGUAGAGAUCAUGAGGAAGACCAGUGGCGAAGGCGGGUCUCUGGACAGUUCCUGACACUGAGGCACGA
rnacentral:rRNA from 1 species